AACACUUACUAUAAAACCACAUUAUAUUUGAGGCCUAGCUUCUCCAUGGUGUGUGUAUUGUCAUAUCCAUAAAGAUAGAGAAGAGAUAGAAGAAGUAGCGAAAGAAAAUGGAGAGUUUUGUAAGGUUUUUGGGUUCGGCAAAACCGUAUUUUGGAGUGAUUUUUAUACAGUUUGGUUAUGCUGGAAUGACGAUUCUUACAAAAUCAGCUUUAAACAAAGGGAUGAGCCAAUAUAUUUUUGUGGUUUAUCGUCAAGUUGCUGCUACUCUUGUCAUGGCUCCUUUUGCCAUUAUCUUUGAUAGGAAGGCGAGGACAAAGAUGUCCUUUUCAUUGUUCUUCAAGAUUUUGAUUCUGGGUUUCUUAGAGCCAGUAAUUGAUCAAAACUUAUUCUAUACUGGUAUGAAGUACACAACAGCAACUUUUGCAUCGGCCAUGUGCAAUGUUCUUCCAGCUUUUGUUUUCCUCAUGGCUUGGGCUUGCAGGCUUGAGAAAGUGAAUAUUUUGAAAAGGGGAAGCCAAGCAAAAAUCCUAGGAACCAUAGUAACAGUAGGAGGAGCCAUGAUUAUGACCUUCAUAAAAGGGCCAAUGUUGAAUUUACCAUGGACAAAAUUACCCAAUCACCCCUCUGCUUCUUCUUCAUCAGCUUCUUCUCCAAAUCACCAAAGCACAAUCAUGGGCUUCCUCAUGAUUGCAACUGGCUGCAUUUGCUGGUCAGCUUUCAUCAUUCUUCAGGCGAUUACGUUGAAAUCGUACCCGGCCGAGCUAUCGCUUACAGCAUUGAUAUGCUUGGUUGGCACCAUUGGAGGCUCUGGGUUUGCUUUGAUCAUGGAGAGGGGGAACCCUUCUGCUUGGGCUUUGCACUUUGACAGCCAGCUUCUAGCUGUGGUUUAUUCUGGUGUAAUAUGUUCAGGGGUAACUUAUUAUAUUCAAGGAGUGGUGAUGCAAACAAAAGGGCCUGUUUUUUUCUCUGCAUUCAAUCCUCUGUCCAUGAUUCUUGUUGCAAUCAUGAGCUCCUUCAUCUUGUCUGAGAUUAUGUUGUUGGGAAGGAUUGUUGGAGCAGUGGUCAUAAUCAUUGGCUUGUACCUUGUUUUGUGGGGGAAAACCAAAGAUCAGCCUUCAAUACUUAAAUCAGAAUGUGAUAAGAUAACACCUUGUGAGCAACAAAUGAUCACUGCAAAUGAUGAGGCUUCCAAGAUGACGAUGGCGGUUCGAUCGAGUCAAGAAUUCGUCGCGCUUGAUGUUGAAAAAGAGGAGAGAAAUUGAUGAAUUAUCUAAACAAAGUUGUAACAUUGUCCUCUGUAUCUCUUAUAAUAUAUGGGCUGGCAGCAAGUGAAUGUGGUUAAAUUUAAAGUUUACCCUGCAUUUUCAUUUUAAUCCAAAAUGUGUUUCUAACUUUUGUAUUUGUGUAUAACAAGG
rnacentral:misc_RNA from 1 species